AUACGUAGGGGGCGAGCGUUGUGCGGAAUGAUUGGGCGUAAAGGGCGCGUAGGCGGCGCGGUAAGUCUGGAGUGAAAGUCCUGCUUUCAAGGUGGGAAUUGCUUUGGAUACUGCCGCGCUUGAGUGCAGGAGAGGUUAUCGGAAUACCCGGGGUAGCGGUGAAGUGCGUAGAGAUCGGGAGCAACACCAGUGGCGAAGGAGGGUAACUGGCCUGCAACUGACGCUGAGGCGCGAAAGUGUGGGGAGCAAACUGGAUUAGAUACCCUGGUAGUCCAUGCUGUGAACGAUGAAUGCUAGGUGUAAGAGGUAUCGACCCCUUCUGUGCCGCAGUAAACACAGUAAGCAUUCCGCCUGGGGAGUACGGUCUCAAGAUUAAAACUCAAAGGAAUUGACGGGC
rnacentral:rRNA from 1 species